CAGGUCUGUACAUAGACGAUCUAGUGAGUGCAACAUGAUGAGGAUGUCGUCCAGAUAAAUGAUCAGGCGUACUCCUCAUUCUCGUAGGGAUGACACCACUCGUUUCAUCAAUUUGGUAAAGCACCAUGGAGCAGAAGAGAGUCCGAAUGGAAGAUAGGUAAACCUCCAUCUCCUUCCACUCCAUGUGAAGUGGAGCAGGUCUCUGUGCCCCACUGCGAUAGGUACUGUCAAGUAAGCAUCCUUCAAGUCCAAUUUGGUCAUCCAAUCCGAGGGCAGAGGGAGGUCUCUUAGACAGUGGAUGCCCUCCAUUUUGAAAUGCUGGUACCUGAUGAACGUAUUCAGGGUCCAUAAGUUGAUAACCGGUCGGAC